GUUUAGAUUUUUAGAAGAAGAAGAGAAGGGAAGGGCUCUAACAGUCCCACGUCACCCGCUAACUCACUUGCUCGGCAAGCCUUCUGUGGCUUUCUCUCUCUCGUGCUUUGUAAAGUUCUCUCCUGCUGCUUCUGCUCAAUUAUCAAACGCUUCCUCUCUCGCUGCCUCCCACGGAUGGCAGCACCAAUCAACAACUUCUCUUUUGCACUCCAAAAACCAUUUGGGGGGAUAUCGAUUGAGUUUGGGCAUCAGUAGUAAUGUUUAGAAGUAACAACAUCGUUGCAAGGAUUUUUCAGCGACAAAUCUGCACUCCUGCUCCCGGAACUAGUGUUCAUUGCGCUAGAAGAUUUUAUGAGAAUUUAGUUCCAAGUUUUACCAUAUAUGAUGUUGAAUGCCCAGACCAUUCAUUUCGAAAAUUUACAGAUGAUGGUCAAUACCUUAUAAGUUUCAGCAGAAAUAAUCAGGAUCUGAUUGUUUACAGGCCAACCUGGCUUUCAUUUUCAUGCAAAGAAGAAGAUUGUGAUGCUCAUGAUCUACCUUCAAAAGCAAGGAGAUUUGAAAGCUUCUUUACACAGUUAUAUAGUGUAUCACUUGCCUCCUGCAAUGAACUUAUAUGCAAAGAUUUCUUCCUUUACAUGGAUAGUAACCAAUAUGGAAUAUUUGCUACUUCUACUGUACCAAGCCAAGAUGCACCUGCUACUGGAGGAGCUAUUCCAGGAUUCCCGUCAAUAGAAAAGAUGACCUUUCAUCUAUUGAGAUUGGAAGAUGGAGUUAUACUAGAUGAGAAAGUCUUCCACAAUGAUUUUGUUAAUCUGCCUCAUAACAUGGGUGUCUUCUUGUAUGAUGAUCUAUUGGCUAUUGUGUCACUUCGCUAUCAAACAGUACACAUUCUCCAAAUUAGGGACUCUGGGAACCUUGUGAACGUACGAGCUAUUGGGGCAUAUUGUCAUGAAGAUGAUGAACUUUUUCUCAAUUCAAAUGCUCAGUGCAUGGCAUUUCCUGACAAAAGUAAAAUGCAUCAGUUACCUCAGAAUCAUGUUCAGAAUGGGUUACAUCACAGCCAGCCUAAUCUAGAAGAGCCUUUUCUGAGUGGCAUCAAACAACGCUUGCUUUCAUUCAUAUUCCGCAGAAUAUGGAAUGAAGAAAAAGAUCGGACCUUGAGGGUCCAGUGCUUGAAGAAGAAAUUUUAUUUCCACUUUCAAGAUUAUGUAGACUUGAUUAUAUGGAAGGUACAAUUCUUGGACCGGCACCACCUGCUAAUCAAAUUUGGUAGUGUAGAGGGAGUGGUAUCACGAAAUGCCGAUCAGCACCCUGCUUUUUUCGCUGUAUAUAACAUGGAGACCACUGAAAUUGUUGCAUUUUAUCAGAAUUCUGCAGAGGACCUAUAUCAUUUGUUUGAGCAGUAUUGCGACCACUUCCACUCAACAUCAAGAAAUUCUUUGUAUAUGAAUUUCAUAUCAUCUCACUCAAAUAAUAUUCAUGCUCUGGAGCAACUAAGAUCCAUAAAAAAUAAAGCAACCAGCUCUUCACAGUUUGUAAAGAAGAUGCUGGGCUCUUUACCUUUCAGUUGUCAGUCGCAGAGUCCUUCUCCCUAUUUUGACCAAUCCCUCUUUCGGUUUGAUGAAAAGCUGAUAUCUGCAACCGACCGGCAUAGACCGUCAACAGACCAUCCCAUCAAGUUCAUUUUAAGAAGACCCCCAUGUUCCCUCAAAUUUAAGAUCAAACUAGGUCCCGAAGCUGGUAGCGCGGAUGGUCGGACAAAAAAGAUUUCUUCAUUCCUGUUCCAUCCAUUUUUACCCCUUGCUCUCUCUUUUCAGUAUACUUCGUCCUCACAGCCAUCAGUUGUGAAUAUUCAUUUCCGAAGAUGAAGAUUCUAUAAAUCUCGUUGGCUGAUUGCUCCAAGUUGUGACAACAACCUUGAAUGAGAUUCUACUCUAGGUCAACAAAUAAAGUCCCAAGCCCAGUAGAGAAAGUCCAAAAAGAGCAAGGAAAAAAGGUCAUGAAGUGCCUAUCCGGCCAACGUCCUGACCGAGUCGGCUAAGUAACCAAAGAAAAGGUCUCACUGUAGAAUACCUUAGGAUGAGGUUAUUGUCUUUGAAUACACGGCAGCUUUCCGGCAAUGGUGCCAAAAUUGCUUGCUCAAGUGUAAGAAAUUGUAGCAAUAUAAUUCUUAGAAUACCUAGGUCGAACCACAAGGAAUAAGGUGAUUCAAAGACAAUGUAAUCAAACAAAAGUUGGAUGUAGAAAAAGAGUAAUUUUUCUUUGUGAUUGUAAACAAGAAUAAUAAUAAUAACUUAUUUAAAUCAGUAAUAUAAAUACAAGGACAUUGAGGUGUUUCCCUA